rnacentral:lncRNA from 1 species
AAGAUCACCUGUGCCCUUCAGUCAUAAGAUGCAGGGGCAUUUUAGAGGCAUCUAUUUCUCCAUUUCUUAUUUGUUUUUUUUUUUUUUUUCAGAAUCUUAGGUAGUUCAGCCUGACCUCAAAUCACUAUCUAUCCGAGGACAACUUGAGACGUCUGAUCCUCCCUCCCUCCCAAGGGUGGGACGAAGCUGAGGCUGCGCAGAGCAGGGACACACCCACCAAGCUGAAAGCGAGCGCUCACCCUAGCAGUCCUUUUAUCUCCUGGCCCUUGGUGGUGAUUCUGUCAGCCCGAGGUUUUUUCCUUCCAGGUUUUACUGCACCGGCCAUCUGUUUUUACAGUUUCAUCGCUUCUUUUUAUUGAGUAUUCUUUCAGCAUAUUUUAUUUUAUGAUAUGUUUUGUUAUUUCCCUAUUGACUUUCACUUUUAAGUGGGCAUGGGAAGCAGCAACAGCUCAAAGGAUACAGUUACGAGGGCAAACUGGGUCCCACCACGGGUUCAGUGGUUCUUUGUUUCUCUGUUCGGCUCUUCGCUCUUCUUUUCUGGUUCUGCAGUGCAAGCUAACAGCCUUGGCCUUGGCCAUAGCCUCGCCAAGAUCUUCUACCAACUUCCUCCAGGUUCACGUUUUCCAGAAGCCUUUCUCACCGUACUCUCCUGUCCUCCGUAGAUGCAGGAUACUGACUCCUGGGCCCCACCCACCAGCCGCUAGCCAAGGGCAAGGCUGGUGUCCUGUUUAUUUCCUUGACUUAUGAAUGAAUGAUGCACCCAAGAGGCUCUGAAGAGAGAUUAAGAGAUUGCACUUGAAAACCUGUCUCAGAGAGAACUCCAGUUUGGUUCCUGAAACCCACAUCAGGAAGCUCACAGCCACCUGUGAGUCCAACUCCAUGGGAUCCAACAGCCUCUUCUGGACUCUGCCAGUACCCUACACAUGUGGCAUAUACACAGAGGCCUGAGUGCAAACUGAAGGGCAGUGGGAGUGAAUUCUCUACGGGGAUGCUACCAGUGUGUGGAAGAGAAGUCAGACAUGACCACAAAAUUCAACCUCCAAAAUUUUGUGCUUCAUCUGCAAAAUGAGAAUAAUGCUGUGUGCCCUUGAGAGGCCUGGCUUUCUACCAUCUGAACUCAGGCUCCUCCCCCUGAACAUCUCUGAAACCUGUUCUCCCUGGGCUGAGAUCAUAGCUCCCCUACAGUGCUCAGAGUGGGGGUGGGGAGGAAAAAUGUUAUCCACCCAACAUCCGAAGUUAUCUUCUCCCAAAUUUCAAAGGAAGAGCUAUGCUCCAGUUGCAUGAUGGUCAGUGGAACCGUAGGGGGUAUGGCUUGUCUUCCUGAGGAAUGAGGGCACUGUCUGACGAUACUUUUGUUUUAUCGUAAGUUGGAGCAAGGGAAGUUAUUGGCCCUUGACAAGUAGCAAUCAGGAACACUGAACCCUAGAGUACACCAGUCAGCCCUCACAGCAAAUAUUCCAUCUAUCAGUUGCAAGGUAGAAACACUCACAGAAUAGAACAGCUUCAGCCUUGAUCCCUCUCUGCCUCUACCUUUUGUGUGAUGUUAGAUAGGGCACUUCAUUACUCUGGACCACAUUUAGUGUCCUGAGUCGUAGGAUAAGAUGGUUUGACUUGAUGGUCUAAAUGGCCUGUCAUUCUCGAAGUCUUUGCGUACGGUGUUGAGUCUCCCAAGUCAAAGCAAGCAUCCCCAUCUCCGUUCCCUCAACUAUAAAAUAGGACUGAAUAUCCUUACUUCAUUGCUCCUACUAUGGUAUGAGAGGAAAAGUUAACUAACAAUUAUAAAAUUGUCUUA